rnacentral:snRNA from 1 species
AUCACUUCCCGGGCUUUUGGCUAAGAUCACCUGCAGCAUCUGUUCUUACCAGUUUAAUAUAAAUACUCUUAAUAUAAGAGCAUACAUUUAUAAUAUAUAUGCUUAGAACUUUUU